GGGGGAUAGAUAACAAUAAUCUCUAAAACAUUGUGGAUAGGAUAACAAAGUAAUGAAUAACAAUAAGUAAGGUUUUUGAGGAAACGCUUCUCAAAUUUUAGGAGGAAUAAUAUGGUUUAGGUUAAUAGCAGAUAUUAUUAUUUUCAAGUUGCAUGAAUUGAAAUAAUUUAUGCCCAUCUCAAAAAAAAAAAAAAAAAAAGAAAAGUUUAUUUAACUGCACAUAAUUUUGCCUGCUGCCAUAGUAACUUAUGACAAUAAGAUAAAAAUAUAGGAAAGUGAAUUUCUGUUUUGUUAAUGUCAGUAUUUUCAGUCAAAUUAUUAAUGUCGAGAUUCUUAGUGUUUCUAUUGCCUAACUACUAACAGAAAAAAGUUGUAAAAUCAGGCCAAUAUAACAAAAUUUGUUACAGGCUGUAAAGCCACUGAGUGAGAAAAGUGUAAAACUAUUGUACACAACAGCAAAUCUCUUGCAAGUUUUCUGUCAACAGAAGAUUGGCUAGUAUCUCUUUCUGUCAAUACAUUUGGAAAAAAAACAACCACCCCCCAACAACACAGAAAACAAAACAAAAAACAAACAAAAAACCAACACCUCAUAUGUGAGGAAUAAAACCCUCACCUUAAGUGAAAAAAGUGAUGGUUUUAGUUACACUUGAGUGACUUUGCAAUUAGUCAGUAGCGGCAGAAAUCUGAUACAUUUGCAUACAGAUAUCACUGGUAGAGUGCCACGCUUCUCUGAAAAUCACAUUUUGAUUUAUUGAUUGGCCAAGUACCACCUGGUGCCUCAGCAAUGCCAGACGAGUCCCAUGUAAAUCAACACAUCCCCAAGUUCCUUGAUUGGAGUUAUAGUAAGGCAAAUGGUAAUCUCCUGGGCUGAAUGCCUGCAUUUGAAAAAGCAUUUCUUUCCAUGAUUUGCAGUUUGUCAUUAAUAGCAUGUACCAGGAGCUGCAACUGAAGUUCUCAAGUCUUCAUGAAGAUGCCUGUGCUUGCUCAGAUCUCCCAGUGCCAUGUCAAACCAGUCUCCUUGUUAAAAUUUGGUGGUUCUCAGCCUAUUGUGGUCAAAACGAGCAGGUGAGCUGCAACACUCACUUGAGACUUGUCUUCCAGUCCCCUGUAUGGAGACCACGAGCACUGCUGAGUAAGAGAGCAAGAGGCAUCCAUUUAAUCUAAAUGAUCAAGUAGCUGCUCCUUCCUCAUCAAGGAUUUAACUUCAUAUACUGUUGCUGCCUGAAUCAUUUAUGAAGAGAACCACAAUCCUUUUGAGGAUACGGCUGAAUGAGUAGCAGUUAAUCUGAAAGAUUGAUACCAUUUCCAAGAGGGAGAAUGGCACAGAAUCACAUUCAGAGAAUGCACCUAUUUUGUGAAAUUUCUUCUUAGGAUGUAUCCUUUUGGAAUCUGGAAUCUUGCACCUGUGUGUGCAGAAUGACAUUAAAAUCUUUCUCAAUUUCAAUAUUUUAUAGCAGUUAUUUUUCUACUAUUAUUUCUCCCACACAACAUGGCUGCAGAAAAGAAAGAAUUAAUGUUGAAAGGCUAAUCGUUGAAAACUCUGGGAGUGCCAGAAGUAAGAUUACAACCAUGUGUCAUCCCAUUUGGGUACUACACUGUGCAGUACUAUUUACCUAGAUUAUAUUUUCUCCCCCACACCCUGAACGUGGUAUUUUCAGUGCACACAGUGUACUCCCUUAGUGUUCUGUUCUGCUGCCACCAAUGAGUGACCAUAGGCCAUUUUUACUGAUUUUCAGCAGUUUCCAGAGAAGAGUCAAGACCCCACAUUGAGCUGAGCCUGGAUAAGUGGGAUUAUCAGCCUGCACUUUCCAUUGUUGAAGUAUAUGGGAUUCACUGCCUGACCCAAAAGGAAUGGCUAGAAAUGGGGUCAGAGACAAAAGAGAAAAGUGAGGUACUGCUAAUCUGCAAUAUUCAUAAACAACUUUGAGGCCACAUUCUGGAAUGGUGUAGUGAUUUCAUCUCAUUGCCCUGCACUUUGUCACCUUGAAGACAGGCAUGGAAAGGGUGGAAACAGGCAGAGAUGAGCAGCCAGGAGCUUAUUUUCUAUACCAACAGAAAUAGCUAUAGCUGCAAAAAUGCUAAAUCCAGCACUUGUUCCUAAGCACCUCUGGCUGGAACCAACAACUUUGGCCUUAACUGUAGAGCUGGACUGCCUCCAGGUUUA
rnacentral:lncRNA from 1 species